rnacentral:rRNA from 1 species
UACGUAGGGGGCAAGCGUUAUCCGGAUUUACUGGGUGUAAAGGGAGCGUAGACGGCAUGGCAAGCCAGAUGUGAAAUACCGGGGCUCAACCCCGGGGCUGCAUUUGGAACUGUUAAGCUGGAGUGUCGGAGAGGCAGGCGGAAUUCCUAGUGUAGCGGUGAAAUGCGUAGAUAUUAGGAGGAACACCAGUGGCGAAGGCGGCCUGCUGGACGGUGACUGACGCUGAGGCUCGAAAGCGUGGGGAGCAAACAGG